rnacentral:tRNA from 1 species
GCCGGGAUAGCUCAGUUGGUAGAGCGACGGUAUCGUAAACCGUAGGUCAGGGGUCCGAAUCCCCUUCCCGGCUCCA